rfam:Schistosoma curassoni strain Dakar, Senegal genome assembly, scaffold: SCTD_contig0000136
AUCCAGCUGACGAGUCCCAAAUUGAAUGAAACGUGCAUACUGGAU